AUACUUACCUGGCAGGGAGAUACCGUGGUCACGACGGUGGUUUUCCCAGGGCCAGGUGAGGCUUAUCCAUUGCGCUGCAGUGUGCUGACACCUGCGAUUUCCUCAGAUGUGGGAAACGGCUGCAUGGUUUGUGGUAGUGGGGGACUGCCUGCCUGCUCUCCCCUA
rnacentral:snRNA from 1 species